rnacentral:rRNA from 1 species
UACGGGGGGAGCAAGCGUUGUUCGGAUUUACUGGGCGUAAAGCGCGCGUAGGCGGCUUUGCAAGUCGGGUGUGAAAUCCCCAGGCUUAACCUGGGAACUGCAUUCGAGACUGCAUUGCUAGAGUAUGGGAGAGGGAAGUGGAAUUUCCGGUGUAGCGGUGAAAUGCGUAGAUAUCGGAAGGAACAUCAGUGGCGAAAGCGACUUCCUGGACCAAUACUGACGCUCAUGUGCGAAAGCGUGGGGAG